CAGUAGCCGCGGGAAUACAGAGGGUGCAAGCGUUAAUCGGAAUUACUGGGCGUAAAGCGCGCGUAGGUGGUUCGCCAAGUUGGAUGUGAAAUCCCCGGGCUCAACCUGGGAACUGCAUCCAAAACUGGCGAGCUAGAGUAUGGUAGAGGGUGGUGGAAUUUCCUGUGUAGCGGUGAAAUGCGUAGAUAUAGGAAGGAACAUCAGUGGCGAAGGCGACCACCUGGCCUAAUACUGACGCUGAGGUACGAAAGCAUGGGGAGCAAACAGGAUUAGAUACCCCAGUAGUCCCUGUCUCUUAUAC
rnacentral:rRNA from 1 species